GGGCCUGUAGCUCAGCUAGGUAGAGCGUCUGGCUUUUAACCAGAUGGUCUGGGGUUCGAAUCCCCACAGGCCCA
rnacentral:tRNA from 1 species